UUCAAUGGCAUAUCGAAGGUCUUUGAGGUCUGUAUCAUUCACUAUCUUUGAUUUCAUCUCUCUUUCUCGUGGCUCUUACGAAAUUUCUCUUGCUGGCACACAUUUGAAUCACUUUCUUCUAAAGAACUUCGUGUGGGAGUUUCACUCUAGCUAGACACUACUUUGCUGGCUUUGCUAUUUAUUUUGAUUCCUGUAGUGUGUAUCAGAGAAAAUUCCCUGCAAAAAAUGGCCGCGUGUCAAAGUGAGCAAGAUUAUCUGGUGGAACAUCAGCUUCUGGAUCCGAGGAAAGUGGUGAAAGUGACGAUGAAGAAAAUUUGGGAAUUGAUGGAAUGAGUUCAUUGGAUCAUGUGAAACUGAGCCAGAACUUUAUGUAAUCCAGCAUUUUUUUUAUCUGAAUGGGGAUAUUUUGAAGGACCGAAAAGCUCGAAUAGCUCUUCAAGAUGGCUACAUGAACCUGAUGAGACUGCCAGAAUAGGUGCUUAUGUCACCCAGUUUCAGAUUUUGAAGCUUUGUUGAGCUUAGCUGUACUUGAAGAAAUUCCAGGAAACCCC
rnacentral:lncRNA from 1 species